rfam:Geobacter sulfurreducens PCA, complete genome.
UUCCGAAGGGGUAAACCCAGGGUAACCUGGGGACACAAAGCUACGGGUCCUGAAAUGUCCUAGGGUUUUCAGGAUAGCCGGGUUGGCGAGA